rnacentral:rRNA from 1 species
CGUAGGAGCGAGCGUUAUCCGGAUUUAUUGGGUGUAAAGGGUGCGUAGACGGAAUGAAGUUAGUUGUGAAAUACCUCGGCUUAACUGAGGAACUGCAACUAAACUAUAUUUCUUGAGUAUCGGAGGGUUUGUGGAAUUCCUAGUGUAGCGGUGAAAUGCGUAGAUAUUAGGAAGAACACCGGUGGCGAAGGCGACAAACUGGACGAUAACUGACGUUGAGGCACGAAAGUGUGGGGAGCAAACAGGAUU